UCACUCGGAUCGUCCGGCACGUUCCUGCCGGUGA
rfam:Frankia sp. BMG5.36 contig_160, whole genome shotgun sequence.